UCCGAAUUGGUGUAGUGGUUAACAUUGUCGCCUCUCAAUUUGCUUAUGUAAGCGCCUCAUUGGGUAACGUGGGUGUCGCGACAGCCAGGGGUUCGAUUCCCCUAUUCGGAA